rnacentral:lncRNA from 1 species
UCGUACCUAGUUUUUUAUGGCCCUGCUGGCAAUCUGGGUACAACAAUUUUUGGUGAUCAUCUAUCAUGCGCUGCAACUUUGCUGCUUGCUUCUGAGUUUCACAAUCUUUGUAUGCAUCUCGUAGUACCUGACCAAGGUCAUCAGUAGGGCCAUUUUCUGCAAACUCAUCUUCAUCAGCCUCGCCCAUUGUAGUAUCUGCAAAAGUUUGGCUUGCAACCCAGUCCGGAAUGUUGUCAUCCUCCUCCUCCUCACCGU